rnacentral:tRNA from 1 species
UUUCUCGUGUUGUAGGGGUAACGCGCCCGUCUAGUGAGUAGGAGUCGUGAGUUCGAGUCUCACCGAGCAAA